rnacentral:rRNA from 1 species
CCCGACAUGAUACGCUGCCUGGUGGAUAGCUGGGCUCAGGCGCUGAGGAAGGGCGUGGCAAGCUGCGAUAAGCCCCGGGUAGGCGCAAGCGGCCUUCGAUCCGGGGAUGCCCGAAUGGGAAUCCCACCGCUGGACUUCGGUCCAACGGUGCUCCUUCACGGAGCGGGAACCCCCCGAAGUGAAGCAUCUCAUUAGGGGGAGGAAAAGAAACUAACUAGGAUUCCCCUAGUAGCGGCGAGCGAAAAGGGAACAGCUCAAACCGAAGACCGUGGAGAAAUCCGCGGCCGAUGUGGGGUUGCGGAGCCGACUGCCUCCUAACCGGCGAAGCUGAAGUGGCAUGGAAAGGCCUGCCGGAGAGGGUGAUAGCCCCGUAAGCGUAAGCUGGAAGGAGUUGGGUCGGCUUCCUGAGUAGCAUACCUUGGUUUUGGUAUGCGAAGCUGGGAGAAACCAACUUCCAAAGCUAAAUACGUCCUGAGACCGAUAGCGCACUAGUACGGUGACGGAAAGCUGAAAAGGACCCCGGAAGGGGUGUGAAAAGAGCUUGAAACCAGGCAGCUACACCGCGCACCGGCCUGAAAGGGUGGAUUCCAGCCAAAGGAAUCCGCGGCAACGCGGAGGACGAGGCUGGAGGACCAGGGUCGGGCGUUCCGUCUAGAAACACGGGCCGGGGAGUUCACGGCUGUGGCGAGCUUAAGGCUGUCAACGCCGAAGGCGCAGGGAAACCGACAGGCCUGCAGCCGAGCUUAGGCUCGGUGAGGGGCGAGGUCUGAAAGGGCCUGGAGUCACAGCUGUGAGACUAGAAGCCGGGCGAUCUAGCCCUGGGUAGGGUGAAGCCGGGCGAAAGCCCGGUGGAGGCCCGCAAGGGUGCUGACGUGCAAUUCGCUCCCCUAACCUGGGGCUAGGGGCUAAAGACCAAUCUAGCCCGGAGAUAGCUAGUUCCCUCCGAAGUGGGUCGCAGCCCAGUCCCCCCGGAGGCUGUUGAGGGGGUAGAGCACUGAUUGGGAAGCAAGGGAUCGAAAGGUCCCACUUUCCUUUCAAACUCCGAAUCCCUCAACGUCGGAGAAGGGGGGAAACGGGUUCCAGGGGGUAAGCUCCUGGACCGAGAGGGGGACAACCCAGACUGAGGUUAAGGCCCCCAAAUGCCAGCUAAACGUCAAACCAAAGGGCGUUCUUGGCCUAAAACAGCGGGAAGGUUGGCUUAGAGGCAGCCAUCCUUUAAAGAGUGCGUAACAGCUCACCCGCCGAGGCCAGGAGCCCCGAAAAUGGACGGGGCUAAGCUGGCUGCCGAUACCUCAGGGUGCAACUUAGGUUGCAACCUGGUAGGAGGGCGUCCUGACUGGGGAGAAGUUGAGCUGUGAAGUUCAAUGGACCGGUCAGGAGUGCAGAUCCCGGUGGUAGUAACAGCCAAGAGGGGUGAGAAUCCCCUCCGCCGAAGGGGCCAGGGUUCCCCGGCAACACGUCGUUGGCCGGGGGUAAGCCGGUCCUAAGGUCUAGCUUAACCGCGACAGACCGAAAGGGAAACCGGUUAAUAUUCCGGUGCCUGCAGGAUACCAUGCGGCAACGCAGGCCUAGCCUCUGACACUUCAAGGUAGGGGAAGCAGGGUCGUCGCCCUGUUUAACCGGCCGAGGGCCGGGGAGCGCCGUAAUGGCGAGAACCGGUUCGAGGCGGGAAUAGCCGCCCCCUUUAGGGCGGUUUCCCCGAUCCUUGGAGUCAAUGAAAAGGAGGCUGGGAAAGGGGAUUCCUGCAGACCGUACCGAGAACCGACACUGGUGCCCUAGGUGAGAAGCCUCAGGUGUGUCGGGUGUACUCCGGGGCGAGGGAACUCGGCAAAAUAGCCCCGUAACUUCGGGAUAAGGGGUGCCUGCCGUUUCGGCUUCGGCUGGAACAGCAGGUCGCAGUGACAAGGGGGUCCCGACUGUUUACUAAAAACGUAGGGAGCCGCAAGCCCGAAAGGGUGUGUACGGCUCUUGAAUCCUGGCCAGUGACGGUACCUGAAACUCGGGUACAACCGAGCUAAGGGCCGUUAAACGCCGGGAGUAACUCUGACUCUCGAGCUUAAAGGGAGUCGUUAAACCCGGCUGUAUGCUGGGAAACCGGAACCCAGCGCCCCCGAGAGAGGGAAAAGAGCGUUGGGCGUUGAAGGUGACCAGCAGGGAACCACCCUCCAGAAAGCCACAAAAACUGCGCAUGCAACACCAUAACAGGGCGUGAGAGUCCAUGGUGCUCCAUGAGUUCAGUGACCUAGCCGACGUUAAGGCGCUGCCGAAACGCCGCAAAUACCUAGCCUACUACCUAGCUGGCUUCGCCGACGGUGAAGGCUGCUUUUCAAUCUCAGUCAAAAGGCAGAAUGACACAAAAUUCGGAUGGGUCGUCGACCCUGUCUUCCAUGUGACGCAGCAUAAAGACAACCGGCUGGUGUUGGAGUUGUUUCGGAGAAUGCUGCAAUGCGGUCGAAUAAUAUCGAAGCCGGGCCAGGAGAACCUUCUCCAAUACGUUGUCGACAACAGAAGGCAGCUGAAAGAAAAGGUCAUACCUUUCUUCAGAAAGCAUCGCCUCCUAGCCAAAGCCAAGGCCUUCAGCUUCUUCGCCGAGGUGGUGGAAAACCUUGAAAAGGGAGCUCAUAGAAAAGCGUCGAGUUUCAAAGAGCUCAUAAGAAACGUUUACGAGCACUCCGCCGACCGAAAACAUGAGCUUGACGGUAUACUGAAGGAGAUCGAUGAAAGGGUGGACGCCUCAGAGACCAUACGCCGGGCACCCCAAAGCCAGCCUUCAGCCUAGAAGGUUGGGGUGAAGAUAUGGUCCAGUAUCCCCAUUUCCCAAGAUGGUGGAUGUUGCUUAAGGUAGCCAAAUGCCUUGUCGGGUAAGUUCCGACGUGCAUGAAUGGAACAACGAGGGCCCCGCUGUCCCCGCCCGGAACCCGGUGAAGCCACAUAACUUGGACGAACAGUCCAGGAACUUCCAACGGGGAGAGAAGACCCCGUGGAGCUUUACUGCAGCUUGUCGUUGGGGCAUGGCUCUGGAUGCAGAGCGUAGGCGGGAGCCGUUGACCUUGGCUUCUCCGGGAGCCUUGGGAGGCGCC